rnacentral:rRNA from 1 species
AUACGGAGGGGGCUAGCGUUGUUCGGAAUUACUGGGCGUAAAGCGUACGUAGGCGGACUGAUCAGUUGGGGGUGAAAUCCCAGGGCUUAACCCUGGAACUGCCUUCAAUACUGUCAGUCUUGAGAUUGGAAGAGGUGAGUGGAAUUCCUAGUGUAGAGGUGAAAUUCAUAGAUAUUAGGAGGAACACCAGUGGCGAGGGCGGCUCACUGGUCCAAUACUGACGCUGAGGUACGAAAGCGUGGGGAGCAAACAGGAUUAGAUACCCUAGUAGUCC